AGUGUCAUCAGUGCUCUAGAUACUUCUUGCAGAUAAUCAUAUAUGGGAGAUCGUAUCAUGGGAUACGUUGAUGCACUUGCCAAAAAAAAAAUUAGGACAACCGGGAGAAGAUGAAUGAAGAGAUUCAAGCUUCAGAAGGACGUUUGGCUCGUCAGAUUGAAGUGGUGAAGAGCUAUGUUGAUUAUCUAUGUGGUAAUAACUUCAUCUUACAUCAUGACAAUGUUGCAGCAUGUAUUCCUGUUCCAGAAGACCCUAUUUCUAUAAUAC
rnacentral:lncRNA from 1 species